GACGAACGCUGGCGGCGUGCUUAACACAUGCAAGUCGAACGGAAAGGCCUGCUUUCCCUUGUGGAUUGCGGGUGCUCGAGUGGCGAACGGGUGAGUAACACGUGAGUGAUCUGCCCCCAACUUGGGUAUAAGCCUGGGAAACUGGGUCUAAUUCCCGAUAGGACUGCAGGGUGGUGCCUGUGGUGGAAAACGAUUUUCUAGUGGUUGGGGAUGAGCUCGCGGCCUAUCAGCUUGUUGGUGGGGUAAUGGCCUACCAAGGCGGCGACGGGUAGCCGGCCUGAGAGGGUGGACGGCCACAUUGGGACUGAGAUACGGCCCAGACGCCUACGGGAGGCAGCAGUGGGGAAUAUUGCACAAUGGGCGGAAGCCUGAUGCAGCGACGCCGCGUGGGGGAUGACGGCCUUCGGGUUGUAAACUCCUUUCGACCGCGAGGAAGCCACCUGGUUGGAAGGGUGGUGACGGUAGUGGUAGAAGAAGCACCGGCUAACUACGUG
rnacentral:rRNA from 1 species